UUGUAAUUUUCUGAAAGUUAAUACAUUCAUGGGUAGUACAAAAAUACCGAACCCGAUCGGAAAGAUAUUUCCAGUCGGUUUUUUGAUAGGAUGCGCCGUACUGUCUCUUUAACGUUAAUGUUUUUUUAUGAAAUCAGUUUUUGUGUACGUGUUUUUUAUUUUUGUCAAAUCUUGAAUUAACAAAAUAUCAGACAUACAUUUGAGUAAUAGGGAUUAAGAGACAGUGGUGUCGGAAGCAAAUUGAAAUUUUGACAAGCAAAAAAAAAACCAAACUAAUUCCCAAAAUCAUCAAAAUCCUAAUCCGUGGUGGGGGGGGGGGUACCUGUAGUUCCAAAAAAAUAAAUUCUUACCUACAAAUUUACAGAUUACCUAGGACUCCACCUUCUCUUCUUCUUGGUAUGUGAAAUUGAAUGCUUGUGCAUGGUAAAUAUGUCCAAAUGAACCACAAUAUAAAUGCUGUUGGAUAUGUUAACUGACUAAUCCAAGAGAACAUUGUACAUCCUUGAAAAAUGAAACUAUGAGCCCAACUUUUUGAAUUUUGUAAUUGUUCUAAUAAAAAAGUUACAUGGUC
rnacentral:sRNA from 1 species